rnacentral:tRNA from 1 species
GCCUCGGUAGUGUAAUUAAUCAGCACGGCAGACUAGAUAUCUUUAAGUGCAGGUUCGAGUCCAGCGUGAGGUU